AAGUCGUAACAAGGUUUCCGUAGGUGAACCUGCGGAAGGAUCAUUAACACGUAUCCAACGUUAAACCCCCCGUGAACCUUCAGUGCGCUCGCACUUUCUUAGAAAAGGUAGCAAUCCCUGGUAAAUCAUUGCCGAACAGUUUUGAUUCAGGGACUUCUGCGUAGACUGUGCUUGAGCGUGAGGCAAGUGGCCUGGCAUUCCUCUGCUUGUUGGUGUCUGAAAGUGUCACCAGCUCUGUACGAAUGGCGCAGUCACGAUCGCUAGAGGCCGACACGGCCGGGCCCCUCGUCACCUUUGCAUGAAAACGGGCCUGCGCUUAAUUUUGCGGCCACCAAACUCGAACAACUGUUAACAAUGGAUAUCUUGGUUCUC
rnacentral:misc_RNA from 1 species